rnacentral:rRNA from 1 species
GACGAACGCUGGCGGCGUGCUUAACACAUGCAAGUCGAACGGAAAGGCCCUGCUUUUGUGGGGUGCUCGAGUGGCGAACGGGUGAGUAACACGUGAGUAACCUGCCAUUGACUUUGGGAUAACUUCAGGAAACUGGGGCUAAUACCGGAUAGGAGCUCCUGCUGCAUGGUGGGGGUUGGAAAGUUUCGGCGGUUGGGGAUGGACUCGCGGCUUAUCAGCUUGUUGGUGGGGUAGUGGCCUACCAAGGCUUUGACGGGUAGCCGGCCUGAGAGGGUGACCGGCCACAUUGGGACUGAGAUACGGCCCAGACUCCUACGGGAGGCAGCAGUGGGGAAUAUUGCACAAUGGGCGGAAGCCUGAUGCAGCAACGCCGCGUGCGGGAUGACGGCCUUCGGGUUGUAAACCGCUUUCGCCUGUGACGAAGCGUGAGUGACGGUAAUGGGUAAAGAAGCACCGGCUAACUACGUG